rnacentral:tRNA from 1 species
GCCUCAUUAGUUCAAUGGGAGAACGCCAUCCUUACAAGGUGGCUACGGUGGUUCGAUUCCAUCAUGAGGCA